UGUCGUCAGCUCGUGUCGUGAGAUGUUGGGUUAAGUCCCGCAACGAGCGCAACCCUUAUCUUCAGUAGCCAGCAGGUAAAGCCGGGCACUCUGGAGAGACUGCCGGGGAUAACCCGGAGGAAGGUGGGGAUGACGUCAAAUCAUCAUGCCCCUUAUGAUUUGGGCUACACACGUGCUACAACGGCGUGAACAGAGGGAAGCGAGCCCGCGAGGGGGAGCAAAUUCCAAAAAUAACGUCCCAGUUCGGAUUGUAGUCUGCAACCCGACUACAUGAAGCUGGAAUCGCUAGUAAUCGCGGAUCAGAAUGCCGCGGUGAAUACGUUCCCGGGUCUUGUACACACCGCCCGUCACACCAUGGGAGUCGGAAAUGCCCGAAGUCUGUGACCUAACCGCAAGGGAGGAGCAGCCGAAGGCAGGUCGGAUGACUGGGUGAAGUCGUAACAAGGUAGCCGUAUCGGAAGGUGCGGCUGGAUCACCUC
rnacentral:rRNA from 1 species